GGGACCGUCCCCUCAGCCGUCCCGUCCCGCCGCCGUGCUGCGCCCAUGGUGGUUGUACGUUCCGGCGCACGGAGCGGGGCAGCGGCGCUCCAAGCUGCCGGCGCCUUCCCGCCGCGCCCGCGCGGGCCGCCCAGCCGGGGCACCCAGGUGUUGGUGACUUCAGAGUCAUUUAGUGGUUUAGUUCUGAGGAAGUAGAGACACAAGGAUUGCGUCUAUUUUACAUAGAAAGCUACAGCUCUUCACCAGUACUCAUCUUCCUCCUUCCCAUCCGUCCUUCCCAUCCGUCCUCCCCCGUAGGGGAGGAUAAUGUGCAAAUUAUUUUAACAGUCAUUUACUCCCCCUUUUCCCCCUCAGAAAUCUACCUUGGUCCCUGAGUCAUCUGCUAGACAUUGCCCAUUAUAGGACCAGGAGAACAUUAUCAUCAUCAUCAUCCUCCCUUGCUUGCUUUGGGAGCUUCAGUAGUACCCUUCCUUCCUUUGGAGCGCAGUGCAUAGAGGCAUCCAGGAGACUUCCUUGCCACCCUUUUUGGUUAGUAGAGGAUCCAGAAAAAGGGGGUACCUAGUGAGACACGUGACCUCGUUAAGGGACCCAGAACCGAAGCAGCACUUGUCGCGCCGAAGGAAGCACCCGUUUUCGGUGUCUUUUUCGUCUUCCACUCCUUCCUCACCAAAUUUCUGAAGUUCCAUUGAAAGGAAACCUUGAAGGUUGCAAGACAAGCCCAAGAUGUGCAGUUCAGUUGCUGCCAGGCUGUGGUUCUUAACAGACCGUCGCAUCAGAGAAGACUACCCUCAGCAGGAGAUCCUGAGAGCGCUGAAGGCCAAGUGCUGUGAGGAGGAGCUAGAUUUCCGGGCCUUGGUGAUGGAUGAAGUGGUGCUGACCAUUGAGGAUGGAAACCUUGGAUCAUUCUGGCCUAAGACUGAAAUGGUUCUUUACACUCCUCCUUACAUGCUUGGGACUAAAGGUCUCCGGGUGAACGGGGAGCUCAUUACUGCUUACCCGCAAGUAGUGGUUGUGCGUGUGCCAACACCUUGGGUCCAGAGUGACAGUGAUAUCACAGUCCUUCGCCACCUAGAGAAGAUGGGCUGUCGAUUGAUGAAUCGUCCCCAAGCCAUCCUCAACUGUGUCAACAAGUUCUGGACGUUUCAAGAACUUGCUGGUCAUGGUGUGCCUCUUCCAGACACUUUUUCAUAUGGUGGUCAUGAGAAUUUUGCCAAAAUGAUUGAUGAGGCGGAAGUGCUGGAGUUCCCUAUGGUGGUGAAGAACACGCGGGGUCACCGAGGUAAAGCUGUGUUCCUGGCACGAGACAAGCACCAUUUGGCAGACCUAAGCCAUUUGAUCCGUCAUGAUGCCCCUUACUUAUUCCAAAAAUACGUGAAAGAGUCCCAUGGCAAGGAUGUACGUGUCAUCGUAGUAGGAGGCCGUGUGGUGGGCACCAUGCUCCGCUGCUCAACAGAUGGGAGGAUGCAGAGUAACUGCUCACUUGGUGGUGUAGGGAUGAUGUGCUCACUGAGUGAACAAGGCAAGCAGUUGGCAGUCCAAGUGUCAAACAUCCUGGGGAUGGACGUGUGCGGGAUUGACCUGCUGAUGAAGGACGACGGUUCAUUCUACGUCUGCGAGGCCAAUGCAAAUGAGCCAAAAAAGUCAAACAAUCCAGAGAAAACCUUCCCUUCUCCCCUUUCCGAUGGCAAGAGUGAGAACUUAUGAAAAGUCCUUGAGAAUGUUCCUUCCUAAACUUUUCCCCCCAGUAAUGCAAGCGGGUAAAAUGGUAAAUGCAGCAGUUUGGUGACAUCCAAAACCGACCUGUUGUCAGAGUAAUAAAACUGGUAGGUGGCAGCAGCAGCAGCAGAAGAAACUCAUGACUGUGACCUGAGAAACCUCCAGUACUGGGAGAAAUGGAUUGAAAAAUAUUAACUGAAGUAAGGGGAACGAUGGAGAGGCAGAGUCCCUGAACUGUCCCUUUGAAUGCAUUUUGAAUUGUCUUGCCUACCCCCCUGGGGAACGUGAACUCUGCUUUGGAGAACACUGAUCUAGACAUCAUCAAAGAAUUCUAGUUGUACACAUCAUUAGUAUAUUCCAUCAUAACAAUACCUCCAUUUUAAGUAAGUCUCCUACCAGAGAUUAAAAUGCUGACCUCUAGUAGGGUGACUUCUCUUUCUGAAAAGAAAGUAAAAGAGGAGACAAGAGCAGGAUAUGGAAGCAUUGAUGAAUGGUCUGUCAUAGGGGAGGUUUGAAUCUGGAUCAGCUGAAAAUGCGGAGAAACAUGUCCAAGUGGGGUAAAAAACAUGUGGUCAGAAUAUAUACCAAUAUGCAGAACAUGGCAGUAGCUUUUGUACUUUCAUAAAUGUUACUAGUUCACUUACAGCUAAGUAUUAGUUGGUAAAUUCCAAGUUCUGUUUCCUGUUGUUAUCUGGGGUGGUCACACUAAAAAUUGGAACAAUGCUUACCAAAGGGAACUAAGCUGGAUCUGAGUUUUUGAUAUUCAGGCAACUAGUUGCUACUGCGUAUCAGGUAUCACUUAGGACUAUGAACAACUGGUGUGCUUUUCUCAGUAGCUUCUCACUUUUCAUACAGCCUUUAAAAGUAUUAUGUUAACCACAGACUGGAAAUCCCAGAACUGAGUUACUGCAAAGUAAGAAAUACUUUGAAUGGAGAUCUGAAGAGUUCUAUUAAAUAUAAUGAUGAGCAAAGUCUGUGUGUGAGAUGAAGCUCAUUGAGAAAGUUUUUUAAAUCCAGUCAAUUGGAGAGGUGAAAGAGAGAAAGUGAAUUCUGGUAGUAGAGGCAAAGGAGUCUGAAGCAUAUGUCAGUCUGUCAGCAAAGAGGGAGAUGAGGCAGUAAAACAGCUUUUGCUGAUCUUGAGCAUUCCCCUUUUUUUGUUGUAAGGAGGGAUCUCACCAGGCUUUCAGUACAUAAUAUAUGCUAGGCAUACUAGCCCUUGAGGAUCAGGUAUCAAGGAGGAGAGCUGGAAGUGUAUAUAGAACUGUUGAUAUGGAAACUAACUGUAGUACUUGUCUACUAGGAUGUGGAUUAAAAGUGUUACUUCACUGAGUUUAGGUGACAGUAAUACUUGGGAACAAUGGUGGUCAUCUGGCCCCGAGCAUGGGCUUAUUUGCCCAGAUACACCUAUAACUUUUUGUUUUUCAGCAUAGUUAGGGAGAGAGGCAUAGAAAUGUGUGUAAGUCUCUUUAAUGAACAUAGGGGACCAUUCUAGGUGAGUUAGUGAACUGUUCAGGAAAGAAUUUUUGGAUAUAAAAUGUGCAGGUAUUUAGAGUACACUCCCAGAUCCUCAAUGUUUUCACAUGUGGCUAUCAAUACAAAAGGGUAUUUUUUUUUUCUACUAGGUGUGACAUAGCAAAGCAUUCUGUUCUGCAACUUUGAUGUGGUAGACUUUUCAAGAAGGCAGAAUAUUUUUCAUUCUUACCAUAGAAUUCCAUGGGCAGGCAAGAGGUGGUAUGUAUGUGAAAGGAAGAAUAGAUAAGUUCCUCACACUGACUGACAAGUGGAUUAUGGACAUUUACACCGUACUCAGGCAAGGCAUUUUUAAGGUAUUUCUGCAUCCUCCUUUUGUUCCAUUUAGAAAGAGUACAAAUAUUACUAGAAUAUACAGAGUCUGCAUAGUAAUAUGUCAGCGUAUUAAGCUCUGCCAAGUGUGUAUGUGGGAGGGGCUCAUAAAACAUUUAUGUGAAUUGCUACAUGUCUGCUAAAUGCGCUUUUUUAUUUGCAGGCAGUUUGCUAUCUGUAAGUGCAUAUAGUACCCUGUCUUAGUGGAAUACAUUUUUGUUUGUUCGGAAGGGAGGAAAUGUGUUUGGGGAGUUAAAUAUGCCAUUCUGUUGUCCAUUUCAGUAGGAAGUAGAAUGGUUAAGGGAAGCUGUCAAAAUGCGUAGGAACUACACGACUAGUUAUAUCCAAAGUCUGGUGUCAGUUGAGUACUUGGUGCUGUUGCUUUUUGGUCUAUCUUUUAGUAAGAGGUGACAAAGAAAUAUCUGGGAGGAAUAUCAAGAAAUAUCAGAAUGAUUUGAAAGUGUUGUGUACAUUGAAUUACAUCUUCUGUUGCCAUUUCUUUUUGCUUUCAGAACUCUUUGAUGUGCUUCUAUACAGGUAUCAUUUAAAAAGUACUGGCUGCUGAAAUGUCUCUGGUGCCUAGGGCUGAUGUCAGUUGAACAGGGGGAACAGACAUGGAAUUCUCUCUAACCAGGAGCGGUCAGAUGUGCUAAUCUGGGUCUUGACCAGAUGAAGACAGAGAGUUAAAGUCUAACAUAGGUUUUGCUGGGCUGUGUAUUUUUAUUGUGAUACAUGCAGUAGUAGCAGAAGUCUUUGUCAAUAGUAUCCUGUGUAGCUGUCACUAGAAAGUGUAGAUGCUUUUGAUCAGCAGUGAAUGUAAAAAUUUCCCUUAUGUAAUACUUUGUCUUUUCCCAAGUAUAGGUACUGUAUUAUGUUAAUCUGUGGUUUAAUGUAAUAUGAUAUAUACAGUUUUCCAAAUCAGGACCGAAUUUUUGCCUUGGACAAAUUGCAGUAUAACUGAGGUACUUCAUACUACAAGAAUGGAAAAGAAAUGGAGUUUUAUUAAAGGUCAUUGGAUGUGUUUUAUUGAAAAAAAAUAUUGUAAUCAGAAAAAAAUAAUUUAUCACAUUCAUAAAUUUUCAUGGAUAUAUGUUAAUUUCCAGAAUUUAUUGGGUUGAUCCUUCUUGUACAAAAUAGCAUUUGUUGUUAGAGAGGGAGGCAAAAUCCAUAUUAUAUUAGCCAGUAACCCAGUUGUUGCUACCACUUUGGGCAGUCAUACAUUUUUUCUAUGCAGAUUUCCUGUUUAUGGUGGAAGCAGUGAUACUACUGAGCUUCCUUGAUGCUUAGUUUAUCUGUGUCGUAAAAUACUUACAUUUUUUGGAGAAAGGAGCUGGAGAGGUGACAACUGUACCCAGUGUUAUGUGGACUAAGCAGGAAGGUGCCACGAAGCAGAGAGAAGACUAAGCAGUAGCCAUAUGCACAGGAAUGUAAUGCUUGUGAAAGAUGCUGGAUCAACAGUUGCAGAGAUUGAACUCCUCUACCCACAGGAAAGGUUUUCCUACACCAGCAGGAGGUCUUCUCUUCCCUCUUAUGGGGACACUUACCUCUUGGUAAUGCCCCUUCACAAUGAAGGGAAGGAAGGAUGGACCAGCAGCAAUGUGGAAUGCGGCGAUGUCCACACUUGGGGUUUACAGUCAUAACAAUCAGUGUCCUACUAACAUGGAGAAGUGAAUAAAAGAGUUGAACUCUAAA